rnacentral:rRNA from 1 species
GUAGGAGGCAAGCGUUAUCCGGAUUUACUGGGCGUAAAGCGUGUGUAGGCGGUAUGGUAAGUCGGACGUGAAAGCUCCUGGCUCAACUAGGAGAGGCCGUUCGAUACUUCCAAACUUGAGGGCAGUAGAGGGAGGUGGAAUUUCAGGUGUAGCGGUGAAAUGCGUAGAUAUCUGAAGGAACACCAGUGGCGAAGGCGGCCUCCUGGACUGACCCUGACGCUAAGACACGAAAGCUAGGGGAGCGAACGGGAUUAGACACCCCGGGUAGUCCUAGCUGUAAACGAUGCAGACUUGGUGUUGGGAGUGUAAAAACUUUCAGUGCCGGAGCUAACGCGUUAAGUCUGCCGCCUGGGGACUACGACCGCAAGGUUA